UCACUCACACCACCACAACGACUCAAACUCAUAAAUAUUUUUAAGACAAAAACCCCAAUCCAGAAUCUAUGGGCUUGUUUCAGACAAGGAGGAGCUUCUAUUUGAUUUUGCUUGUAGCAUGUUUAGCAAUUCCAGAAACCAGCAGAGGUGAAGCAAUACGGACAAUUCCCUUCCGAUUUCAACAAGGUGAUAAGAGAACAUUUGCAACACUGGGAGUGGUAUGCAAGUGUUGUGAUGGCGCAGAAGAAUCAUGUACAUCUUCGUGGAACGGAUCAUGCUCCAAACUUCAUUGUGUUCCUUGGAAAUUUCAAUAACAUAUUUCGAUAUAUAUAUAUGAUAUAUGUAUAGUUUUCUUUCAGUUGUAAUGAUAUAUGUAUAGUUUUCUUA